AUACAAAUAGGAGUUUUGAUACAAUUUACAAUUAAAUUUUCUUAAUAGUACGACUAAUGUAGAUAAACAAAGCUUUAUACAUUUGAAUAUUGGAUAAUAUAUCUUCCAAUUGGCGGGGAAUACUUUCAAUGUUACUAUUUACACAUGUACCACUAUCACAUAAAUCGUUCGCUAAUAAUAAACGGUCAAUUCCAAACGCAGGGCACCGAAGUACGAUAUGAUCCAAAUCAGCAUUUGCUUGAUUACAGUAUUGUCCCAUGUACAAGUGAAGGAGCAGUGACUACAUUAGAUGAGACUGGUUCUAUGUCCAGAGGACUCAAUUCGAGUUGUUUGUGAAGAAUGCUAUUGUUUAAGGAUACUAUUUUCAAAUAAAAAUCUUUGGGCCAACUGUAAUCUACGCAAAACCAGAGGAGGAGAGACACAGUAUGAUGAUGGUUGCACAUUUAUCUCAAGAAAAGUUGGAAGGUGGUAACUACCCAUUGGGUCAUCAUGAACAUACCAAUUGCAAAGAUGAGCAAUAGAAGAACUAGUAAGAGCCAAAUCUAAUGCAGCAGCCUGUCUACCAGGAUAAGGGACCGUUGUUGUAGAUCCAUCAUUUAAAAUGCAUAAAUCACAAUCAUCUAUAAGGUUAAACAAGCAUUUACCCCUAUUGUUGUCAUAAUUAGAUCCAAAAGCCAUGUGAUGAGCAUUAAAAUCACCCAUUAUAACACAAGGCCUUGGUAAGGAAUUUAUAAGUCUCUUCAAUUUUAAAUCAUCAAAUUGAUUAGUGGGUGGACAAUAAAUACAAAGUAAAUAUAUACAGCUUGUGCCAGUUUUUAAUGAAAUACAUAUAUUUUGUAUGGACUCAUGAUACAAAGUGUCUAUUAUACUGUACUGUAAACCAUGUUUGAUUAGUAUACCGACUCCAUGAUGAGGGUUUUUGGAUACUUUAUAAUGAAAAUUAUAUGAUGGGAAAUUUGGAAUUCUAGUGUUGGGUUUUAUCCAAGUCUCAUUAAGAAGACAAAUGUCAACAGACUUUUCAACUAAUAAAUUUUGUAAUAAGGCUUUUUUACUCUGCAAACUUUGUAUAUUAUACUGUAAUAUUUGUAAAUAAUUAUCCAUUAAAUUAAAUUUGAUAAGAA